rnacentral:rRNA from 1 species
UUUAACAUGAGAGUUUGAUCCUGGCUCAGGAUGAACGCUGGCGGCGUGCUUAACACAUGCAAGUCGAACGAAGCACUCUACUUGAUCUCUUCGGAGUGAUUGUUUUGUGACUGAGUGGCGGACGGGUGAGUAACGCGUGGGUAACCUGCCUCAUACAGGGGGAUAACAGUUGGAAACGACUGCUAAUACCGCAUAAGCGCACAGGGUCGCAUGACCUGGUGUGAAAAACUCCGGUGGUAUGAGAUGGACCCGCGUCUGAUUAGCCAGUUGGUGGGGUAACGGCCUACCAAAGCGACGAUCAGUAGCCGACCUGAGAGGGYGACCGGCCACAUUGGGACUGAGACACGGCCCAAACUCCUACGGGAGGCAGCAGUGGGGAAUAUUGCACAAUGGGGGAAACC